rnacentral:rRNA from 1 species
GACGAACGCUGGCGGCGUGCUUAACACAUGCAAGUCGAACGGAAAGGCCCUGCUUUUGUGGGGUGCUCGAGUGGCGAACGGGUGAGUAACACGUGAGUAACCUGCCCUUGACUUUGGGAUAACUUCAGGAAACUGGGGCUAAUACCGGAUAGGAGCUCCUGCUGCAUGGUGGGGGUUGGAAAGUUUCGGCGGUUGGGGAUGGACUCGCGGCUUAUCAGCUUGUUGGUGGGGUAGUGGCUUACCAAGGCUUUGACGGGUAGCCGGCCUGAUAGGGUGACCGGCCACAUUGGGACUGGGAUACGGCCCAGACUCCUACGGGAGGCAGCAGUGGGGAAUAUUGCACAAUGGGCGGAAGCCUGAUGCAGCAACGCCGCGUGCGGGAUGACGGCCUUCGGGUUGUAAACCGCUUUCGCCUGUGACGAAGCGUGAGUGACGGUAAUGGGUAAAGAAGCACCGGCUAACUACGUG